CAUGCAAGUCGAGCGGUAGAGAGAAGCUUGCUUCUCUUGAGAGCGGCGGACGGGUGAGUAAUGCCUAGGAAUCUGCCUGGUAGUGGGGGAUAACGUUCGGAAACGGACGCUAAUACCGCAUACGUCCUACGGGAGAAAGCAGGGGACCUUCGGGCCUUGCGCUAUCAGAUGAGCCUAGGUCGGAUUAGCUAGUUGGUGAGGUAAUGGCUCACCAAGGCGACGAUCCGUAACUGGUCUGAGAGGAUGAUCAGUCACACUGGAACUGAGACACGGUCCAGACUCCUACGGGAGGCAGCAGUGGGGAAUAUUGGACAAUGGGCGAAAGCCUGAUCCAGCCAUGCCGCGUGUGUGAAGAAGGUCUUCGGAUUGUAAAGCACUUUAAGUUGGGAGGAAGGGCCAUUACCUAAUACGUGAUGGUUUUGACGUUACCGACAGAAUAAGCACCGGCUAACUCUGUGCCAGCAGCCGCGGUAAUACAGAGGGUGCAAGCGUUAAUCGGAAUUACUGGGCGUAAAGCGCGCGUAGGUGGUUUGUUAAGUUGGAUGUGAAAUCCCCGGGCUCAACCUGGGAACUGCAUUCAAAACUGACUGACUAGAGUAUGGUAGAGGGUGGUGGAAUUUCCUGUGUAGCGGUGAAAUGCGUAGAUAUAGGAAGGAACACCAGUGGCGAAGGCGACCACCUGGACUGAUACUGACACUGAGGUGCGAAAGCGUGGGGAGCAAACAGGAUUAGAUACCCUGGUAGUCCACGCCGUAAACGAUGUCAACUAGCCGUUGGGAGCCUUGAGCUCUUAGUGGCGCAGCUAACGCAUUAAGUUGACCGCCUGGGGAGUACGGCCGCAAGGUUAAAACUCAAAUGAAUUGACGGGGGCCCGCACAAGCGG
rnacentral:rRNA from 1 species